GUGAGGAAUUUUCCGCAAUGGGCGAAAGCCUGACGGAGCAAUGCCGCGUGAAGGAUGAAGGCCUAUGGGUUGUAAACUUCUUUUCUCAGAAAAGAAUUAUGACGGUAUCUGAGGAAUAAGCAUCGGCUAACUCUGUGCCAGCAGCCGCGGUAAGACAGAGGAUGCAAGCGUUAUCCGUAAUGAUGGGGCGUAAAGCGUCUGUAGGUUGUUUAAAAAGUAUUCUGUCAAAGAUUAGGGCUUAACCCUAGAUAGGAAGAAUAAACUUUUAAGCUAGAGUUUGGUAGAGGCAGAGGGAAUUCCCGGUGGAGCGGUGAAAUGCGUAGAUAUCGGGAGGAACACCAAAGGCGAAGGCACUCUGCUGGGCCAAUACUAACACUGAGAGACGAAAGCGAGGGGAGCAAAUGGGAUUAGAAACCCCAGUAGUCC
rnacentral:rRNA from 1 species